rnacentral:tRNA from 1 species
UGGGUUAUGGCUCAGUGGUAGAGAAUGUGUAUAGCAUUCAAGGGUUCUGGGUACAAUUCCCAGUACCAUAA